GACGAACGCUGGCGGCGUGCUUAACACAUGCAAGUCGAGCGAUGAAGCACCUUCGGGUGUGGAUUAGCGGCGAACGGGUGAGGAACACGUGAGGAAUCUGCCUUUCACUUAGGGAUAACUCCGGGAAACCGGGGCUAAUACCGGAUAUUUUCAACUGGCGGCAUCGCCGGUUGAAGAAAGUUUUUCGGUGAAAGAUGACCUCGCGGCCUAUCAGCUUGUUGGUGAGGUAAUGGCUCACCAAGGCGACGACGGGUAGCCGGCCUGAGAGGGCGACCGGCCACACGGGGACUGAGACACGGCCCAGACUCCUACGGGAGGCAGCAGUGGGGAAUAUUGGGCAAUGGAGGAAACUCUGACCCAGCGACGCCGCGUGGGGGAAGAAGGCGUUCGGGUCGUAAACCCCUUUCAGUUAGGACGAAGCUUUAUUGGUUAAUAACCAAUUGGAGUGACGGUACUUUCAGAAGAAGCCCCGGCUAA
rnacentral:rRNA from 1 species